rnacentral:rRNA from 1 species
UCAAGCUACAAAGAGCGCAAGGGGAAUGCCUUGGCACUGGGAGCCGACGAAGGACGUAGCGAUCUACGAUAAGCCACGGUGAGCCGAAAGCAGGCAUCGACCCGUGGAUUUCCGAAUGGGGCAACCUGGCUGAAUAGAACUCAGUCAACAUACGGUGAAUAAAAUAGUCGUAUGUAGGGAACCGCCUGAACUGAAACAUCUAAGUAGGGCGAGGAAAAGAAAUCAACCGAGAUUCCGCAAGUAGUGGCGAGCGAACGCGGAAGAGGCCAAACCGAGAGUAGUAAUACUUUCGGGGUUCGGACAGCAUAAGGUAUGCUAAAGGUUAGCAGAAGGACAUGGGACGGUCCACCACAGAGAGUGAUAGUCUCGUAUGCGAAAACCUAAAGCAGCCGGCUGGAUCCAGAGUACCGCCGGACACGUGAAACCCGGUGGGAAUAUGGGGGGACCAUCCUCCAAGCCUAAAUACUACCCAGUGACCGAUAGCGUAUAGUACUGUGAAGGAAAGGUGAAAAGAACCCCGGGAGGGGAGUGAAAAGAACCUGAAACCUUGUGCUUACAAGCACACAAAGCACGUCAAGGUGUGAUGUGGUACCUUUUGUAGAAUGGUCCGGCGAGUGAAUGUAACUGGCGAGGUUAAGUUCUUAAGGAACGGAGCCGAAGCGAAAGCAAGUCUGAACAGGGCGAUUCAGUCAGUUGUAUUCGACCCGAAACCGGGUGACCUAUCCAUGUCCAGGAUGAAGUUAAGGUAAAACUUGAUGGAGGUCCGAACCCACGGUCGUUGAAAUGCCCGGGGAUGAGAUGUGGAUAGCGGAGAAAUUCCAAUCGAACCCGGAUAUAGCUGGUUCUCUCCGAAAUAGCUUUAGGGCUAGCCUCGACUGAACAUUACCGGAGGUAGAGCGCUGAAUGGGCUAGGGGCCGAGAGGUUACUGAACCCUAUCAAACUUCAAAUGCCGGAAAAUGAUAGUCGGGAGUCAGACUGCGUGAGAUAAGUUUCGUAGUCGAAAGGGAAACAGCCCAGACCCACAGCUAAGGUCCCAAAGUACGGUUAAGUGGAAAAGGAUGUGGAGCUGCACAGACAACCAGGAUGUUGGCUUAGAAGCAGCCACUCAUUAAAAGAGUGCGUAAUAGCUCACUGGUCGAGUGACUCUGCGCCGAAAAUUUAACGGGGCUAAAUCGUACACCGAAGCUUGGGAAUAUCAGUUAUUCUUCAUGGACUUGCAAGGAAAGAGACCAUGGCACGAAGUGCCAUCAAAUUGUCCAUAAGGAUAAAGCGAGCUUGUGAAGAAUAACUGAUGUUGGUAGGAGAGCGUUGAAUGCGGGGUGAAGUCAGAGCGAAAGCGCUGGUGGACUGCAUUGAAGUGAGAAUGCCGGAAUGAGUAGCGAGAUUUAUGUGAGAAUCAUAAAGGCCGAAAGACUAAGGUUUCAGAAGGAAGGUUCGUCCGCUUCUGGUUAGCCGGGAGCUAAGGUGAGGCCGAAAGGCGUAGCCGAUGCACAUACGGUGGAGAUUCCGUAGCCGUCAAAAUAUUUAAGCAAAGGGACACUUAUGAAGGGCAUGACCCGGGCGAUGGUAGCCCCGGGCGUAAGGGACCGAAAAUAAGUAGGGAAGCAUGUUUGGAAUAAGGCGAGAAAAGCUUUGUGGAUAUAUGAGACGUCCGUACCGCAAACCGACACAGGUAGUCAGGAAGAGGAUUCUAAGGCCAACGGGAGAAGGGUAGUUAAGGAACUCGGCAAAUUGACCCCGUAACUUCGGAAUAAGGGGCGGUGCGUAAGCACCCGCAGUGAAUAGGUCCAGGCGACUGUUUAUCAAAAACACAGCUCUCUGCUAAAUCGAAAGAUGACGUAUAGGGGGUGACACCUGCCCGGUGCUGGAAGGUUAAGAGGAGGAGUGCAAGCUCCGAAUUGAAGCCCCAGUAAACGGCGGCCGUAACUAUAACGGUCCUAAGGUAGCGAAAUUCCUUGUCGGGUAAGUUCCG